rnacentral:rRNA from 1 species
AACGAACGCUGGCGGCAUGCCUAACACAUGCAAGUCGAACGGAACCGCCCGGCCUAUUUGCGCACGUGUGCUUACCGCGGGGUGACUUGCCCUUAGGUUCCGAAUCACUCCCCUUAGGAGGUCCUAAUACCGGUUAAUCUCUUCCCACCAAAGAUUUAUUGCUGUUGGAUGGGCCCGCGUUGGAUUCGCUGGUUGGUAGGGUAAUAGCCUCCCAAGGAGACGAUCCUUAGCUGGUCUGGGAGGAUGAUCAUCCACACUGGAGAUAAGACACGGCCCAGACUGCUACGGGAGGCAGCAGUGGGGAAUAUUGGACGAUGGGGGAAAGCCUGACACAGCCAUGCCGGGUGAGUGAUGAAGGCGUUAGGGUUGUAAAGCUCUUUUACCCGGGAUGAUAAUGACAGUACCGGGAGAAGAAGCACCGGCUAACUACGUG